AACGAACGCUGGCGGCAUGCCUAACACAUGCAAGUCGAACGAAGGCUUCGGCCUUAGUGGCGCACGGGUGCGUAACGCGUGGGAAUCUGCCCUUUGCUUCGGAAUAACAGUUAGAAAUGACUGCUAAUACCGGAUGAUGUCGCAAGACCAAAGAUUUAUCGGCAAAGGAUGAGCCCGCGUAGGAUUAGCUAGUUGGUGGGGUAAAGGCCUACCAAGGCGACGAUCCUUAGCUGGUCUGAGAGGAUGAUCAGCCACACUGGGACUGAGACACGGCCCAGACUCCUACGGGAGGCAGCAGUGGGGAAUAUUGGACAAUGGGCGAGAGCCUGAUCCAGCAAUGCCGCGUGAGUGAUGAAGGCCUUAGGGUUGUAAAGCUCUUUUACCCGGGAUGAUAAUGACAGUACCGGGAGAAUAAGCUCCGGCUAACUCCGUG
rnacentral:rRNA from 1 species